GGGGUGCAGGUUUCUGCCAGGCUGGCCCUUCAGGUUGCCUGCUUUGCUCCUUUGGGCUGGGCCUUUGUAAGGGUGGCACCUGUGCGUGCCACAUCCUGCAGGGUUCUAGGGGCAUUGCUGCUUUAUUGAGGUUUGUUGGUUCGUUGCCAUCCUUUCCUGACCCUCCUUUCCUUAGACUAGCAUCAAGUUGUCUACAUGAACUGAAUUCACCAAAACUGUUGUUAGAGAUCUGCUGGUAGCAAGCCCUAAGCCUGUCAUGAACAGGCCUUAAAGAAACUGGCCAUAAACAGCAUUUCUGCAGCAAUGUGACAUGCUCGUGAUGGCUAUCACGCACACUGCUAAAAGUUGUUGGUUUACUGGAGCGGGACAAGGAAAACCUGGCCCACCCAGAGUGGAAAACUGCUCAAAUCACAAACAAUAGCAGAAGCGGCCUGUGCCUUAACAACAUGCUUUUGCUGCAGAUAAUCAGCCAGGGCCUGUUUCUCUGCUCCUCACUAGGAAUGCUUUUAGUUAAUCUAUAAUCUGUAGAAACUAUGCUUAUCACUGGCUUUCUGUCAAUAAAUGUGUGGGUCAACAUCUGUUCGUGGCUCUCAGUUUUGAAGGCUGUCAGCCCCCUGAUUCCCACUCUGCACUCUAUUUCUGUGUCUUUGUCUUAAUUCCUCUAGCGCUGCUGGGUUAGGGUCUCCACGACUGAGCUGGUCUCAGCAAGCGGUGCUCAACAUGGGGGCUUGAACCCAGGAUGAAGAGUCGCUGGAGCGGUGGUUGGAGAACCUGGAAGUAAGCUGGAGAACACCCGAGUACUCUUAAGCAAUCCCCGUGGCCAAAACCAGCAGCUGAUUUGGAUACCAUGAAGACACCUGAAACCUUAUCAUGAGCCAGAUGCCGAGGAAGAGAUUUUGCGAGGGACCCAAGGACCACCCUGUUGCAGCCAAGUCCAGACUGACAAUAAGGCCUCCUUUCCUGUUUGUAUCUGCAGAUGGGGAUCCCCAAUCCUGUGAGAAGGAGCCCACCAUGACAAAGCUGCCUUUGCCUUUAUUGCUUUGCAAAAAAACAAUAAAUAAAUAAAUAAAGAGGGACAUGCUGGUAGCGAGCUCUAAGCCUGUCAUAAACAGGCCUUAAAGAAACUGGCCAUAAACAGGAUUUCUGCAGCAAUGUGACAUGCUAGUGACGGCUAUCACGUACACUGCUAAAAGUUGUUGGUUUACUGGAGCAGGACAAGGAAAACCUGGCCCACCCAGAGUGGAAAACUGCUCAAACCACAAACAAUAGCAGGAGCGGCCUGUGCCUUAACAACAUGCUUUUGCUGCAGAAAAUCAGCCAGAGCCUCUUUCUCUGCUCCUCACUAGGAAUGCUUUUAGUUAAUCUAUAAUCUGUAGAAACUAUGCUUAUCCUGGCUUUCUGUCAAUAAUGUGUGGGUCGAACUCUGUUCGUGGUGCUCAGCUCUGAAGGCUGUCAGCCCCCUGACCCCCACUCUGCACUCUAUUUCUGUGUCUUUGUCUUAAUUCCUCUAGCGCUGCUGGGUUAGGGUCUCCACGACUGAGCUGGUCUUGGCAGAGUUCCAUAUCCAAAUCUGAGUUGCUGUGAAGGUGCAGAUUCUUUUAACAUUAGGAAAAGGGAAUAUCCUGCGAGGAUCAGAACUCCAAGACAGAGUCUUGGAUUUCAAAGCCUGGUGAUGGUGAAAAUGGUGUGUCUUUGGGGAUAGAGAGAACUUUUGCCUUCACAUCUCUCACGUUCACCCUUAUACAUCGUUGCACAGGGGAGCUUGUGAGCUCUGAGCCCAGCUUGGCUGUGGGAGCAGGAGGAAUCUCUGGUUUGGGUGCUGAGGUAUCCUCAGCAGGGUGGGUGUGUUGAGGAGAUGAAUAGUUGGCAGAACUGUCCACAGGCUUUUCUUUUCUGCCACUGUCCUCACUGUGGUGUCCUUGGGAGGCUACAGGAGUCAUGGGACCAGGGACCUGCUCAGCUAUCCGACCGGUGGCCCCACCGCACACAGACACUUUUGCACAGGACAUCACCCAUCCCAGGGACUGUAACAUAUUCAUUUUACCAACUCUUUCUUCCUCAGCAUACAGAUGUCCUUCCUGCCUGCCAUUAGCACUUCCCAAAAAACUGCCAAGCCACGUAUCUACCUGACUUUUCUUUACAUAUUCUUUUUUUUCUUCAAUUUUUAUGUUAAGUUCAGGACACAUGGGGAGAACAACACACACGGGGUCUUCUUUUUAAAAAACAGAACAAUCAAUACUUGCUAUCAAAAAAUAGAAGCUACACACUUAAAUAAAAGAUGUUGCCCAUGGAGUCCCUAAAAUUGUCCCGUGCGUCAGCGGCUGGGUGCACACCACACUCUGCGAAAUGGUGAUGCUAGGCCUCUGGCCCUUUCCUGGAAUUCGCAGCCCCUCAUGAGGAGCCCUUUGGAAUGAGAGGAAAAAUAAGCAUGUGGACAUGCCCUAGCCGAGGAGUGUUCUUUUAGUAUCUGCCAAUUGAGAAAAUAGACAACGUACAAAGCUACUAUUCAGAAUGAAUUCACCUUAUGUUAAUGAAAUGGCCCUCUGCAGAUGGCCUGGUGCACUAACCCUCCCUUCCAUCUGCAGAGGGCCUGGUGCACUAACUAAUUUGAAGCCACUUUGCAACUCUGUGGCUUCCUGGGGUCGGCAACUCACAGUUGGGAAUUCCUGGUUUAGGGGAAAGAGCCAAGACCCCCUUUGUUCCAUUGUGUGGACUUGAGCAUUUUGCCUUCUAGCUGGUUUUAGGUUCCCCUGACUAUGAAAUAGGCAUAAAAGCCCCUGCGUUUUUUUUUUUUAAACCUCACAGAUGUUAUUUUUGUGAAGACAAUGGAAAACACUAUUCUUCCACUCUGGGCAACAUGGUGAAACCCCGUCUUUACCCAAAAUACAAAAAUUAGACAGGCAUGGUGGAACUCACCUGUAGUCCCAGCUAUUUGGGGGCGGGAUGAUGGGGAGGGCCGUUGAGGCAGGAGAAUUGCUUCAGCCAGGGAGGCAGAGAUUGCAGUGAGCUAAGAUCAUGCCACUGCACUCCAGCCUGGGUGACAGAGUGAGACUCUGUCUCAAAAAAGAAAAAUAAAAAAAGGAAGAAAGAAGGAAAGAGAAAGAAAGAAAAAGAAAGAAAGAGGAAAAAGAAAGAAAGAAAGAGGAAAAAAGAAGAAAGAAAAAGAAAGGAAGAAAAAAGAAAGAAAGAGAAAGAAAGAAAGAAAGAAACUAUUCUAAAGAGGAGAAAAAUCAUAUUUCUAAAUGCAAAUUGUCAAUAUAACCCUUUCCAUGAAAUCUCAGAAGAAGCUAGGACUCCUGGGAGACAAAGAAGAAAGAAAAUAUGAAUGGAAACAUCAUGGGAAGGCCAGUGAUCAGUGAUGGAGACACUGACCACAAGAGCCCCAGUGACUCAGCUCCUUAAUAAUCACCAGGCCCAGGAGCCCAGGAAGUUGAGACCACAUGUGAUGUGGAGGAAACUCGGCAGCAUUGGGCUUAGGCGCCUGGCUCCGGGCACUGAAGGGAGGGCUGCAGAGAUCAUGGGGACAGGCCAUUCCUCUUCUCCCAAGGACAGUCUGUGUUACUGCGGAAACGGGCCAGGGCUGCCCUUGAAGUCCUUGGAAAUCACACCAGGAAUGGCCUGACCACACUGGGCAGGAGGGAGAAGAAAAGGAAGCCCAGGGACUGGGCGGAGAGGGAGAGAGCCUGCCGCAAGGGCUUCAGGGCAGGAGGGGGCUUCUCAUUCCCCGCUCAGCUCCUGGAACAAAGGAAAGCCCCGCCCUGCCGCCCUCACUCAGUCCCGUGUUCUAUUUAAAUCCUGUGCCCCAUUGCAAGACUGCAUUCAGUCUGCAUGAGCCUUAGUUUCAUAAAAGCCCCCUCACACCGAGGGGACAAUGUUCAGAACUAAAUGACUGCAGGUGAGCAAUUCUCUGUAUUAUACAAACUGGGACCAAAGAUGACUUUAUAAUAGUGGCAAGAGACAAUCAGGCAGACUGGGAGGACCUUAUAAAUAGAUUAUAAGGCUGUGGUGAGUUUAUUUUAACUUAAAAAAAAAACCUUCUUUUCUGGUAUACCAUAGUGAAAAUGUAACAGUGUCUGGAUGAUCUAUUGCAAAAAAAAUUAUCCUUUGUUUCUUGAUUUUUUUUCUUUUUAAUUCAAAAGCCCCAAAUUUCUGAGUUUCCAUGUUGAGGAUAAAACUCCUUUUAGAAAAAUUCUAAACUUGGAAAAUAGUGAGGCCCUGAUUAAAAUGGCAGCUCAUUUGGAAAAAACCAGAAAACAGCCCAUUUGCUUUCCUGAUGUCAUCAUCACCAGCAAGCAUUUCUUGAGCUUUGGUUUGAUACACAGACUGGGCCCAAUAGAGCCGCUGGGCAUGGAGGUGAGGCCGGUCCUCUGCAUCCCUGAAGAAGGCAGUCUGUAUAUGCACAACUGUGCAGGCAGCACACUGAGGACACAUUGGAUCCUUUGGGAUGUCUUCUGGGCUUUCCACUUAGAGUCAAACAAAAAGGCAGCAGGAGUACAGAGAGCUGGCUAGUCCCUUCCCCUAUGUGAGGACCCAGUGAGAAAGUGCUGUCUAUGGACCAGACGAUGGGCCCUCACCAGACAGCAAACCUGCUGUGCCUUGAUCUUGGACUUCCCAACAUUCAGAAUGAUGCUCUCAGCUACCAGUGAGCUACCCUGUCCACAAUCAGUGAUGAGGUUUACGAAGAAGUACACCUGCAAGAGGUCACAUCUGCUGACUCCCACACCAAAGGAUUAAGAACUCAAGUGAAGUUGUUCCCUAGCAAGUUGUUGGUUGACAAAGGGAAAAUAAGGAGAGAGCUCCAGACUGCCAAGGCUGCCUGUGUAGGGGAGAAGAGGAGGGUCUUCAGGGGCAUAGGGUUGGGGACAUUCAGAACUAUGAUAAUGGCCUUUUCUUGAUCCACACACUCAUCUACCACCAACCCUAGCAGAAAGACAGAGGAGGUAUUUAUCCAUCCCUGCUGCUUCCUUCCUACCCUAGUCUAAAUCCUUGACCAAGUAGGGCUGGAUACCAGGAUUGAGAUGUCACAAUUUUAAGGGGGGUUUCAAGCAGGGGAAAUCACAAUACUUCAUCUUCUCUUGCCAUUAGCUUUUUCUGUUAAAAAUACGAUGUUUAAAAAGCACAUAAACAUUUAUCCAUUUAUCAUUUACUUUGAAAUUCAGCCUUUGUUCUAUCCAGAACCAAAUGCCAACACAGCAUUCUUCUCCAGGCUUAAUAUGACUUAUUCACUUAGGGAAGGGCUGGGAGGCUCUGAACCUUCUGAAAUUAGAUGAAAGCUGUGUGUAUAUGUACAUUUUCCGAGGGACAGGGAUUAUCAGUUUUAUUGGAUUCACAAAGGAUCUGUGUUAGAGACCUUGAGAGGAAUUAAACAUCUCUGUGAGUAUAUGCUGUAGGGCUUUGCUGCACUGUCCUUGGAGGCUGUGCUGACAGUGACCCCAGUGGUGAAUCCCCCAGGGCUCUCAUGGGAAGUUAGAAAUGAAAGCAGCUCAAAUAAAGAAGCCUGACUACUGAGUGUGGCCAAUGGGAGAGAGAAUCAGGUAGGGGAAGAGACCUCCAGACCACAGCAAUUAUCAAUCAGCAUGGGGAGUUGGGAGUCUGCAGAAAAGGUCUUUUUUCUUUUUUUUCUAGAAAAAAAAUUUCUUUAAAAAAGUAAGGAUUCUUCUAGAGGGUGUGUACUUUAGAAGACAAUUUGGCAUGGCUUAAUGUCUUAGUGUGCUCAGCUGUCAUAGCAAAAUACCAUAGACUGAGUGGCAUAAACAGCAGACAUUUAUUUCUCACAGUUCUGGAGCCUGGAAGUUCAAGAUCAAGGUGCCAGCAUGGUCAUUUCCUUGUGAGGACUCUCUUUUAGGUUGCAGACAGCUGCCUUCUUGCUGUAUUCUCACAUGGGGAAAGGGGGGAUGGAGAGCGGAGAGAGAAACAACGAGCAAGCCUCUGGUCUCUUCUUAUAAAGGCACUGAUCCCACCAUGAGAACCUUACCCUCAUAACCUCAUCCAAACCCAGUGAUCUCGCAAAGCCCCAUCUCCAAAUACUGUCACAUUGGGGGUUAGGGCUUCAACAUCCACAUUUUUUGGGAAAUGAUUCAGCCCAUGGCACCUAGUAAAAUUAAAGAUACAUAGUGAUGGUUAAUUUUAUGUGUCAAUGUGACUGGGCCACAGGGUGCCCAGAAUAAACCUUAUUUCUGGGUGUGUCAGGGAGGUUGAUUCCAGCACCCAAUCCUUUGAAGGCCUGAAUAGAACAAAAAGGUGGAGGAAGGAGGAAUUUGCUUCCUUUUUCUGGCUUCACUGCUUGAGCUGGGACAUCUCAUCUCAUCUAUCUCCUCUCCUCUCCUCUCCUCUCCUCUCCUCUCCUCUCCUCUCCUCUCCUCUCCUCUCCUGUCAUCUUCUCUGGCCCUCAGACUGGGUUACACCAUCAGCUCCCCUGGUUUUCAGACCUUCAGACUUGGACUGAAUUAUACCACCUGCAUUACUGGGUCUCCAGUGUGCAGACAUUAGAUCAUGGGACUUCUCAGCCUCUACAGUUGUGUGAGUGAAUACCUCCUAAUAAAUCUGUCUAUCUAUUAUCCAUCCAUUCACCCAUCCCACUGGUUCUGUUUUCCUGGAGGACCCUGACUAACAUAUGCACAUAUGUUGCUACCCAGCAAUUCUGACCCUCUACAUAUGCAUUAGAGACACAUACGUACACGUGACCUAACAGGUGCAUUGAACAUUCUCAGCAGCACUGCUAGCAACAACAGCAGCAGAAUGGACAGACACACAAGACACAUUCACACUGGGGGACACUGUGUAGCAGUGAAAAUAGAUGAAGCACAUCUCCAGGCAUGAGCCAGGAAGGAUCUCACCAAUGUUGGGCAGGAAGAACUGGCUGCAGAGGAUACAUACAAGUGAUCUGGUUUAUAUGAAGCUAAAAAAUAGGCACAACUGAGCACUAUAUUGUCUGUGAAUAUGCACAUGUGGGACAUGGCUUCCAAGAAAGCCAAGGAAACAAGUAACCAAGUUCAGAGUAUUUCCCUGGGGAUGGGGUGGCAGGCUGUCAGAGGAGGGCACAUUGACUAGGGGGUCAUUGGUAUUGGUAAUGUUCUCUGUCUUAAACUUGGCUCACGGGAUCAUAGCAGUUUAUUUUAUCAUUAUUUUUAAAAAUGUAUUUGUGCAUAUAUACAUAUAUAUACACACACGCAAUAUAAUACAUAUUUACAUAAUGUAUGUCACAUAUACCGUAUAUCAUAUAUAAAGCAUGGCACUCUUGUAUGCAUAUUUCUUUUUUUUUUUCGACACAGGGUUUUGCUCUUAUUGCCCAGGCUGGAGUGCAAUGGCAGGAUCUCAGCUCACCGCAACCUCCGCCUCCCAGGUUCAAGUGAUUCCCCUGCCUCAGCCUCCCUCAGCUGGGAUUACAGGCGUGCGCCACCAUGCCCAGCUAAUUUUGUAUUUUUAAUACAGAUGGGGUUUCUCCAUGUUGAUCAGUCUGGUCUUGAACUCCCGAACUCAGGUAAUCUGCCCGCCUCAGCCUCCCAAAGUGCUGGGAUUACAGGCGUGAGCCACUGCACCCAGCUUGUAUGCAUAUUUCAAAUUAAAAAAGAAUCUCGUUAGAGAAACAAAAUGUAAAAAAUAAAAAAAUUAAAAAUUCUCAUUAGAAAAACAAAAUAAAUUUUUUUUAAAAAGGGAGAAUUAAUAAACACUGUAAUAUAGUCACGCAAUGGAAUACUAAUCAACAAUAAAAAUCGCAUUAUUCAUAUGUAUUAACAACAUGAAUGAAUCUCCAAAUAACUAUGCUGAGAUGCGUACAUCUCACUGUGCUGAGCAACAGACACAAAACAAUGUAUGCUCCGUGGUUCUGUUGAUAUGCGUUCUGGGACAGACAUAACUAUAGUGACAGAAAUCAGAUCAGUGAAAAGUGUGGGGAAUGGAAUUGAUGAAAUGGGCGAGAGGGAACCUUCUGGGCUGAUGGAAAUGUUCUAUACCUUGUUUAGGGUGGUGGUGAUGUG
rnacentral:lncRNA from 1 species